ACAGAAAACAAGGAAUGAAAUGCGGUGACAAAGGCCCACCCAAAACGCAUAAAUUAGGUCUCAACCUUUUUUCUAAUUCCCUAUAUUUCAUCAUUCGCACCAAUCCAAACCCAAGAAAGAGAAAAACAGAAAAGCUUCGUUUAGGAAGAACAACAAGAAGCUCUGGAUUCCGCCUCUUCCCGUCCUUCGAGACGGUUGUUAUGCUGCGUGCUUUUCAGGUCUCAUCCUCUUUCCUUCUCCCCCUCUUCUUUCAGAUCCGAUCCGAUCCGAUCCCUUUCGGAUCCUUCCGAUUGCCUUUUCGCUUUAGUUCGCCGUCGUUUUUGUGCUUUCCUUUCUUGUUUUGUUUAGGCUUUUGACUGUUUGACCGUCGAACCAAUUGAAUUUGUUUGUUCAACUUUGGUUCCUGUUGUUAGAGGAUUACGCGUUCGUCGAAUUUGACUUUCUUGAUGGAUUUUCCGCUUUUUUUUUCUAGGUUUUGUUUUCUUUUUGUGCUUUGGUGUUAGUUAGGGCUUCGAGAUAGGAUUCUGGUUCUCGAGAUUCGUAUGGACUGUUGUUUAUGCUUUAUUCCGUCUUAGGUUAUAGUUUUUGGUGUUAUUAGAUUAUUUAUGCUUCUGCUUUCUGGAAUUUGAUGUUUAAUCUUGAUGGCACAUGGAUAAUCAAUCAUAGAGAUCUUGUAGGCAUUUUACGCCUUGUAAUUUUCGAUUCGAAUUUAUUCCUUGACUGAUGAUAAUUUUAUAUUUACCUUUUUUUCCUGGAAAACUGGCAAUUUUUGAAGCAGGAUUUUUCGAAUUUAAUUGUUUGAGGUAAGUGUAAAUGCAAUUAAUUUUACUUGGUCAGAGAAUCCGAGUCUUCAUCGCUGUUUUGUUGUAGCAUCUGAAACUAAUAGUUGCCCGAUUUCAUAUGUCAUUCAUGUUUUUUGCUGUUAAUUUUAAUUUUAUUGGUCAUGUAAUGGUAAAGAAAAUUGAGUAUGGGUUUUUUAUGAAUCUAACCUCAAGCCUUCUCCAUGUUUCUUUAAUCAUAGGUUGGUCCUGGGUUGAAUCUAAGGAUCGUGAUUUAUAUUUGAGACAUGGAGGGAGUUUGUUUCUGGACAAAUUGCUACCAGUAUCGGUUUUUUGCAUUCCAAGAAGUGCUUGAUUGGCGAUUUUUCAUCUUGAGAUUUCUUCGGGUUUUCCUUUGUUAAUUGCACUUAGUGUUCGCUCCCGUUUGAUGAUCAGCACAGGGUACGUGAUGCUACUUUCUUCUGAUACAGGUGCUGCAUCUUUAGUGCACUUGUGCAAUGCAUUGCUGACGCCAUCCCCUUCUGUUAAAACUCCGGUAAAUCCUCUUGGGGCUGAAACAUAUAGAUCGGUGACUGAAUAUUGGAUUCUGCCUGCAUAUUUUGAGUGAAGCAUUUGCAUUGAAUCAGUUCGAACUGUAGUUAUUGAAAUAGCCUCCUUGUUGCUCUUGAUGGGUAUUGUUGCUGAAUAACACACAUCAGUUACCCGAAGUUUCUGAAGCAAAUCCUACUUUGAUUAGAUGAAGUAGAGUAUAUUGUAGUUCUGAAGUCUUGGGGUCAACGGUGAUUUUAGCUAGAGGGAGAGUAAUGGUACUGCUUUGAUCAGUCAUUAUAGUGGGACCUGAGAGUGUCAGUAUGAUCUCUGUUCUUGUUCAUUUCCACCACCUUUACUAUGCAACCAUUUCGAAGCCGUGGGUCUAUAAUGAAUAAAGCUGUGCAGCCCGUCCAUCUGAAAGUUUCUGCUUCUAUGCCCUCUUUUGCUACGACAGAAAAUUGAUGGUGGAUUUUGCUGGACCAGCAGGAACCUGUUAAUAUUUUAUACACUCUGAGCAUCAUCUACACGAGGAUAAAUGCCAUUUAUUUCCUUUGCGUUUUGGUUUACAUUUGUUGAAUCAAGAAAGUGCUGCUU